AGUGGUCAAUAUAAUAAUUCUCAUUAGACUAUAGUUCAAUCAAGGUAUUUUGAUUCAAAGUCAAGUUACUGCUUAAUAAGGACACAAUGUCAGUAUUAACAUAUAUAAUUGAAAAAAAGCAUGGGUUGGCUCAUAUUCAUCAGUGAAAAUGUGCAAAAUGCAGAUGAAAGAUGUAAAUAUUUCGGAAGUUUUCACAAUGAAGGAAACCUUGAAUCAACCUCCAUCUUCAGAUCUACAUCCAGGGAAGUGUGAAUUUUUUUCAGCGACUAGAAGUCAUUGGUGGAAUUCUACAUAGGGAGUUUUUAUCAUUUGCGCCUGUAGGAAAAUCUAUUUUUCAUAUUAUUAUCGAUCUUAAGAUCGGAUUCAUUUCACUGGUUAUUGAAUACAACACUUGUCGGUUUGUUAUGUUUUCACACAAUCAUUUGAUGAUGAAAUAUUCAAGGACAAUUUAUUUGGAGAGUUUUUAUCAGUUUUGGUCUGCAGCAUCUUGUUUACAUCUUUAUUUUGAUGUUGUCUCUGUCAUUUUUGUUCUGUUCUCCAUACAAACCAAAUUUGACUUCACUAAAUCAGGAAUUCUCUAUGUGUUAUGCAUAAUUUUUUUUCGUUCGGAUUCAUUACCAUUUUUGCCUACUGGCACUCUUGGAAAACUAUACACGGUGACUUUGGAUAUGUAUCCAAAACGGAAGACAUUGCAAGACUGAGCAAAAAGGAAGAAGUUGGCAGGGAUUUGCCAAUAACAGACAGACUAACUAUCUUUCGUGUUCAUCAGCAAUGGAGAAAAAGUAAAUGAGGCCAAAUUUUAAUCACAGCUUAUCGCAUAUUAGAAGCAUGAUGCAAAGCUAAUUUAGGAUAUUAUUUAAUCAGUAGAGAGUUUUAUCAUCUACCCAUACCUCUGGGGCUCAGCAAUAUUGAUUGUCAUAAAGACAACAUGUUGCCUCCACAAUUUGUCGAGAAGAGAUGUUGCUGGAGCAGCAGCAGUUAACAAAAACGUUGGAGUGGUUCUGCAACUGCAGCAUUACGUACCUGGAAGUGGUGGCCGUGCAACACAGCGCAUGUUGAGUUCACAACAUCUUUGCCAGAUUUUUUCGGAGGAAGUUUCUGUGCAAAGGCACUAUUACUGACAUUCACCCCGAUUCUAGUCAUUUUAAUUCUCAUUGCUGGGCUUGUUAUUGGUCAGCAUUUUCUUGCGAGUUCACUAUUUUCAACUGAAAAUUAGAUGGAGUAAUAUCCACAUCGAAGUCAAGUAGAUGAGCAAAAAGUUGGACGCUGACACUGUGUAUAUGAAAAUCCGAGCAAAAAGUUGGACGUUGACACUGUGUAUAUGAAAAUCCGAGCAAAAAGUUGGACGUUGACACUGUGUAUAUGAAAAUCCGAGCAAAAAGUUGGACGUUGACACUGUGUAUAUGAAAAUCCGAGCAAAAAGUUGGUCGCUGACACUGUGUAUAUGAAAAUCCGAGCAAAAAGUUGGACGUUGACACUGUGUUUUUGAAAAUCUUAGAAAAGAGUUUUAAAUACCUGUCAAGCAGUUAAUGCUUUAGCUUCCCAAUCAUUCCAGCAUAUUUUCUGAGUUACUAGUAAUAUAUUGACUUUGGAAAAUUUCUCCUGUCCAGACAAGGAAAGUGUGCGAUACUUCAGUCAAUUACAAUCGGAAAAGUUGUAGUUUGGCUUCAGAUAACGAAUUAUGUUUGAUUAUCUUGUUUGGUAACUGAUCUUGUCUCGAAUCUUAACAUUUAGUUUGGGAAGGUGAUGUCUGGAGCAAAAUCGCUCUGCACACUAAGCAAUGACUUCGCCAGGUACUUUUGCGCACAAGAUUUCCUGGUGAAUAAUGCAAUGAUGGCUCACAGAGACAUUCACCCAGAGUUGGAGAUAUAUCAGCCAUUUUUCAGUGUUGGUAUCGGCUGAAUGUGGACCGAUAUAUGCAGCUUUCGGAUCUGAUCAAGAAUGUUUCAAAAGAUAAGUUGGGAUACGGAUGUUGAAAUAUAUUUUUGUGUGGACGGAUCAUGUAUCUUACCUGUUUGACCAUUAUCGGGCAAAUUAUUUCAGCUAAUUUGGCUGUUUUCGAUACCAAUAUUUUAUAUCAAUGGGUUAUUUUAUGAAGCCAGUUUCUCUAUAUUUUCACUUAUUCAUGAACAGCCUUGUGUGCUGUUUUUAAUUUUGCUAAAUGAAAUUUUAUAUAUUUUUUUGCAUUGGAUUGUUGUGAAAAAUCGAUCUGAUCCAAGACCUCUUGCAUUUAAUCCCUAGUAGCUGGGUUUUUGUAAUGUCAAUGUUGUUUUACUAGGAUAAAGAAUCAAAUGCUCUUUCCUUACAAAUCGUUGUAUACAGUAACUUAGUCACAGCCUAAUUGUUUGUUAAUAUCGUUCACUUCGUUGAUCGAUGAUCUUUCAUCCAUCUCCUAUUGGAUUGAUUUAAUAUUUCCUAAAACUAAUUUCUCCAUCCUCUUGAUGUGCUUUUUAAAUUUCACUUCAUUGCUUGUGAAUGUUUCCUUACCUAUUGCUAAUGUUUUCUUCAUUUUUAUUAUGUUGGAUUUUCUCAUCUUUCUUGGACUUCCUCAUGACUCCAGCACCAGAAACCCCCUCAAUAUACUAUAUUUAUUCUCUAUAUUAAAACUGACAAAGCAGUGCCACAGAUGCCGGUACUUCAAUGAGUGCCGCUGUGGAUUUUGAAUGCCGUUCCUAUGGUUACGGUGCGGAGUUUUUAUUUUUUAUAUGUAUUCGGGUCUGUUUUCUGUUCUGCUGUCAAUUUUUUUUUUCGUGAUGUGAUGUUUGAAUUUUUUCUUCUUUAUAUAUUAUUACUGUGAGACCAAAUGAUGGGUGUUGCUGCUCGUUUUGUCGUUUGAUCAGUUUUGGUUUCUCGCGCCAUCUUUCAGCCUGAAACGCCAUAUUUUUCCUUUUCUUUAUAUUGUUCGCAUAAAAUGUAUUUACUUUAUGUUGAUAGAAUAAAUACUGAUUAACAUUUGCAAACUA